GGGAGCUUGCUCCCAUUUCUCAGCGGCGGACGGGUGAGUAACACGUGGGCAACCUGCCCUACAGACUGGGAUAACUCCGGGAAACCGGAGCUAAUACCGGGUAAUACGUAGCAUCGCAUGAUGCAACGUUGAAAGUUGGCCUUUGGCUAACACUGUAGGAUGGGCCCGCGGCGCAUUAGCUAGUUGGUAAGGUAACGGCUUACCAAGGCCACGAUGCGUAGCCGACCUGAGAGGGUGAUCGGCCACACUGGGACUGAGACACGGCCCAGACUCCUACGGGAGGCAGCAGUAGGGAAUCUUCCGCAAUGGACGAAAGUCUGACGGAGCAACGCCGCGUGAGUGACGAAGGCCUUCGGGUCGUAAAGCUCUGUUGUUAGGGAAGAACAAGUACCGUUCGAAUAGGGCGGUACCUUGACGGUACCUAACCAGAAAGCCACGGCUAACUACGUGCCAGCAGCCGCGGUAAUACGUAGGUGGCAAGCGUUGUCCGGAAUUAUUGGGCGUAAAGCGCGCGCAGGCGGUCUCUUAAGUCUGAUGUGAAAGCCCACGGCUCAACCGUGGAGGGCCAUUGGAAACUGGGGGACUUGAGUGCAGAAGAGGAGAGUGGAAUUCCACGUGUAGCGGUGAAAUGCGUAGAUAUGUGGAGGAACACCAGUGGCGAAGGCGGCUCUCUGGUCUGUAACUGACGCUGAGGCGCGAAAGCGUGGGGAGCGAACAGGAUUAGAUACCCUGGUAGUCCACGCCGUAAACGAUGAGUGCUAGUGUUUGGGGGGGUUCCACCCUCAGUGCUGAAGUUAACACAUUAAGCACUCCGCCUGGGGAGUACGACCGCAAGGUUGAAACUCAAAGGAAUUGACGGGGGCCCGCACAAGCAGUGGAGCAUGUGGGUUUAAUUCGAAGCAACGCGAAGAACCUUACCAGGUCUUGACAUCCUCUGCCACUCCUAGAGAAUAGGACGUUCCCCUUCGGGGG
rnacentral:rRNA from 1 species